rnacentral:rRNA from 1 species
ACCCCAGGUGAUGCGCUAGUACGGCGAGUGGGCGGCAACAGCUCAAAUUUGAAAUCUGGCUCUCGGGCCCGAGUUGUAAUUUGUAGAGGAUACUUUUGAUGCGGUGCCUUCCGAGUUCCCUGGAACGGGACGCCAUAGAGGGUGAGAGCCCCGUCUGGUUGGAUGCCAAAUCUCUGUAAAGUUCCUUCGACGAGUCGAGUUGUUUGGGAAUAA